UACGGGGGGGGCAAGCGUUGUUCGGAAUUACUGGGCGUAAAGGGCUCGUAGGCGGCCAACUAAGUCAGACGUGAAAUCCCUCGGCUUAACCGGGGAACUGCGUCUGAUACUGGAUGGCUUGAGUUCGGGAGAGGGAUGUGGAAUUCCAGGUGUAGCGGUGAAAUGCGUAGAUAUCUGGAGGAACACCGGUGGCGAAGGCGGGUCUCUGGGCCGAUACUGACGCUGAGGAGCGAAAGCGUGGGGAGCGAACAGG
rnacentral:rRNA from 1 species